GGAACUUCAUUUACUCUGGCAGAUGAGUGUGAACUAGCAACAUUCCCUCCAGGAUCAGAUAUGCAACAAGCAGCAGUAGUAGCUAUUCAGGAAGAGGACCCUUAUAAUUGGGGGUAUGACUCUGUGCUUUGGAAGGUUCCAAAAGGAAGCUAUGCAAGUGAUUUCAUCAGGAAAGAGAUGAAGAUGAGAGGAAGAGAGACUCCCCCAAGCUCUGUCUAGGCGAUGCACGGGCGACGGCCGCCCUUCCUGUUAUUGCCUCCAUGGCUGACUGCUCAUCCCCAGUAACCUCCCCCCCCCCUCACGUGCGCCACACUCUGGGAUUAAGGUCUGCUCCUUGGCUAGCAUUUGCGUUGACCUAUUCUCUGAUUUCUCUCCACCAAAGAAUCAAAGAAACAAGCAAGCUGAUGUCUAACAUAUUUGUUUCGUAAUAGUUGGAACUGGAAGAGGAAGCUCCAGUACAAUUCAGAUCUCUGCUCAAACCCUCAAUAUCUCAUGCAUACAUAACUGCUUAUUGUGUGAAUAUUAGACGUUACUUGUGCA